rnacentral:rRNA from 1 species
AGCAGAUGACUGGGUGUAAAGCGUGCGCAGGCGGUUUGGCAAGUCAGAUGUGAAAUCCCCGAGCUCAACUUGGGAACUGCGUUUGAAACUGCCAGACUAGAAUAUGUCAGAGGGGGGUAGAAUUCCACGUGUAGCAGUGAAAUGCGUAGAGAUGUGGAGGAAUACCAAUGGCGAAGGCAGCCCCCUGGGAUAAUAUUGACGCUCAUGCACGAAAGCGUGGGGAGCAAACAGGAUUAGAUACCCUGGUAGUCCACGCCCUAAACGAUGUCUACUAGUUGUUGGUGGAGUAAAAUCCAUGAGUAACGCAGCUAACGCGUGAAGUAGACCGCCUGGGGAGUACGGUCGCAAGAUUAAAACUUAAAAAAUUAGACGG